UUCAUUUGAAACAGCUCAGACUUACAUUUUAGUCUAGGACUAGGCUUAAGCCUUGUCUGUGAAUCCGGGGGAUAGUAUAAUGUAUUAUUAUUAGCUUUUUAAGAUUAAGUGAUCCAAUCCACUUGUGUCUAAGUAAUCAUUAGUUCACAAUUUUGGAGAACUGAAGUAUGAAAAGUGAAAAGGUUUACAUGUCAUUACCCCUCAAUGCACUUCCUGCUCCAGUUUCCAGAUACAUACAGAGCAGUCGCUGCAACUCACAGCCAGCUCAUCACCCGGCAUCCCAGUGACUGCACAUAAGCUGCCAUCACUGACCUUCAAACAACACACACAGAGCCGUCCACGCUGACCUUUCCAACUAAAAGAGGUAAACCAUUGAAUUCUGAUGCCAUAUCUCCAAUCUGCCUGUGUCAUAACCACACACCAUGAGAUCAUCAGUACCCAGGAAGCACACAUCUCUCACACUGCCUUUCUGGCAACGAGGGGUUUCUGUGGAUGAAUGUAUAUAAAAAAAGAUUCUGCUUUUUUGACCAUUCUGUCAUACCCAUUGCUGUGGUGAUGCUCCAUGACCUGAGGGAAUGAUCCACUGAGACAGUGAGAAAAUCCAACAGUCCGUCCUCUUUGCACACUAAAGACUGGAUUUGUGUUGUGAUGCUGUACCUAUGAAAACAUAGGGUGACCAAACGGUGAGCAGUGAGUGAAGAGUAUUGUUGUCUGCCGUGGAUCUGAGGAAUCACACUCAGUCUUUAUUUCAGAGUGAAGCAAAGCCGAGAGGUUCUCUGUGAGAAGAUCUCUCGAAUGUUAUGUGGUAUCUCCUUAUAUACAGUAUACAGGGUGUUCCAAAUAUUUCAGAAUUUUCCUUAUGCUUACAAAUCAAUUCCUCCCUAGAGUGAACCAUACUUGUUAUGGUAAAGAGAAAGGCCCUUUUGUAUGUCUUUCCAGAUGUUUCUCAUCUGGGUCUGUACAUGCUGGCCAUGUUGGCAUCUUCCUUCCUAUACUUAAACUAUAGGAUCAUAAUGGAAUAAUAACUGGCAAGAUAAAUGGCUAGAUUCACAUUGAUUACACUUGAAUAAUAAAAAUCUUAUUAAUAAAAAUCUUCUACAUUUCACCCCUUUGAGACUUAGUAAGUCUCACAUAUGAUUAUUUUUAUCCACAGUGCUACUCCAUAAUUCAGUCUUAUUAGUUAACAUUACCUAGUGACUAAAUAAGUCACACUGUAUUAUCACCAAUGACUAGAUUAUGUAAUUUCACUCUGGGGGAGCAACAGGACCAAACAUCUCCCUCCACACUUGACUAGGAGGGAGUAAAAGAUCCAGCCUCCCAAAAACCCUUUCUUUAAUAGAAAACAAUGUUAUAAGCAUGAGCGUGCAAUUAGUUCAGCACUUGUCUGUGGUUGUCACAGUUGUGUAUAAAAAAAACAUAAAAAUGCAUACAUAACAUAACACAUUGAAUAUCACAAGAUUAUAAUAGUUGAUCUUCAGCCCAGAUACCUUAUGCAUCGUAGAGGGCCACCCUGGGCAGAAGUUAGGCUAGCACUUACACUCAGGGUAUGGUUCAUCUUUAGACCUCUUCAUUGUCCUCGUUAGCAUCACUAGAACUAUCAUCAAAAGUUUGUUCAUUUAAGUUUAGUUUGUUUAGCCAUCCUUCAUAAUAUUCCCUUAGGCUCCUUUCUGUGAUCAUUUGUUGAUUAUUUGGGACUUUUAUCACUUCCAUUUGCUUAGCAGUAGCGUUGACGAUUAAUGUUCUUAAUAUAGGUAAUACACAGCAAAAUACCAAUCCUCCUACUAAUAUGGCAACUCCCAAAAACAUUCCCAGUUUAGCAAACCAUGCUCCCCAUGCUCCAAAUUUCAAA